AGAGUUUGAUCCUGGCUCAGAACGAACGCUGGCGGCAGGCCUAACACAUGCAAGUCGAGCGCACUCUUCGGAGUGAGCGGCGGACGGGUGAGUAACGCGUGGGAACGUGCCCUGAGGUCGGGAACAACCGCUGGAAACGGCGGCUAAUGCCCGAUAUCUCCUACGGGAGAAAGGUUUACUGCCUUGGGAUCGGCCCGCGUCGGAUUAGGUAGUUGGUGGGGUUACGGCCUACCAAGCCGACGAUCCGUAGCUGGUCUGAGAGGAUGAUCAGCCACACUGGGACUGAGACACGGCCCAGACUCCUACGGGAGGCAGCAGUGGGGAAUAUUGCGCAAUGGGCGAAAGCCUGACGCAGCCAUGCCGCGUGAGUGAAGAAGGCCUUAGGGUUGUAAAGCUCUUUCGACGGGGAAGAUGAUGACGGUACCCGUAGAAGAAGCCCCGGCUAACUCCGUGCCAGCAGCCGCGGUAAUACGGAGGGGGCAAGCGUUGUUCGGAAUUACUGGGCGUAAAGGGCGCGUAGGCGGACAUGCCAGUCAGGGGUGAAAUCCCGGGGCUCAACCUCGGAACUGCCUUUGAUACUGUAUGUCUUGAGUA
rnacentral:rRNA from 1 species